rnacentral:rRNA from 1 species
AGUGUAGGCGGUCAAGCAAGUCAGGGGUGAAAGGCAUCGGCUCAACCGAUGUAAGCCUUUGAAACUGUUUGACUUGAGUGCAGGAGAGGUAAGUGGAAUUCCUAGUGUAGCGGUGAGAUGCGUAGAUAUUAGGAGGAACACCAGUGGCGAAGGCGACUUACUGGACUGUAACUGACGCUGAGGCUCGAAAGCGUGGGGAGCGAACA